GGGUGAUGAUGUAGCUGACCUAUCAUGGAGGAGCAGGAUGAUGAUGUAGCUGACCUAUCAGGGAGGAGCAGGAGUCAUGAUGUAGCUGACCUAUCAUGGAGGAGCAGGGGUGAUGAUGUAGCUGACCUAUCAGGGAAGAGCAGGAGUGAUGAUGUAGCUGACCAAUCAUGGAGGAGCAGGAUGAUGAUGAAGCUGACCUAUCAUGGAUGAGCAGGAUGAUGAUGUAGCUGACCUGUCAUGGAGGAGCAGGAUGAUGUUGUAGCUAAUCUAUCAUGGAGUAGCAGGAUGAUGAUGUAGCUGACCUAUAAAGGAGGAGCAGGGUGAUGAUGUAGCUGACCUAUCAUGGAGGAGCAGGAGUGAUGAUGUAGCUGACCUAUCAUGGAGGACGAGAAUGAAGUAGCUGACCAAUCAUGGAGGAGCAGGGGUGAUGAUGUUGCUGACCUAUCAUGGACGAGCAGGGGUGAUGAUGUAGCUGACCUAUCAUGGAGGAGCAGAAUGAUGUAGCUGACCUAUCAUGGAGGAGAGGGGUGAUGAUGUAGCUGACCUAUCAUGGAGGAGCAGGAUAAUGAUGUAGCUGACCUAUCAUGGAGGAGCAGGGGUGAUGAUGUAGCUGACCUAUCAUGGAGGAGCAGGGGAGAUGAUGUAGCUGACCUAUCAUGGAGGAGCAGGAGUGAUGAUGUAGCUGACCUAUCAUGAAGGAGCAGGAUGAUGUAGCUGACCUAUCAUUGAGGAGCAGGGGUGAUAAUGUAGCUGACCUAUCAUGGAUGAGCAGGUGUGAUGAUGUAACUGACCUAUCAUGGAGGAGCAGGGGUGCUGAUGUAGCUGACCUAUCAUGGAGGAGCAGGGGUGAUUAUGUAGCUGACCUAUCAUGGAGGAGCAGGGAUGAUGAUGUAGCUGACCUAUCAUGGAGGAGCAGGAUGAUGUAGCUGACCUAUCAUGGAGGAGCAGGAGUGAUGAUGUAGCUGACCUAUCAUGGAGGAGCAGAAUGAUGUAGCUGACCUAUCAUGGAAGAGCAGGGUGAUGCUGACCUUUCAUUGAGGAGCAGAAUGAUGUAGCUGACCUAUCAUGGAAGAGCAGGGUGAUGAUGUAGCUGACCUAUCAUGGAGGAGCAGGCUGAUGAUGUAGCUGACCUAUCAUGGAAGAGCAGGGUGAAGAUGUAGCUGACCUAUCAUGGAGGAGCAGGAUGAUGAUGUAGCUGACCUAUCAUGGAGGAGCAGGGGUGAUGAUGUAACUGACCUAUCAUGGAGGAGCAGGGGGAUGAUGUAGCUGACCUAUCAUGGAGGAGCAGGAUGAUGAUGUAGCUGACCUAUCAUGGAGGAGCAGGAUGAUGAUGUAGCUGACCUAUCAUGGAGGAGCAGGAUGAUGAUGUAGCUGAC
rnacentral:lncRNA from 1 species